rnacentral:lncRNA from 1 species
GAAACAGAGUAUUACCCAUCACCUAAGAGGCCUCAAGGCCAACCAGAUGGGCCAGCCAGUCCCAUCUCAAUCUCAACCACCUACCUUUCUCCAUUAUUGGACUUUACAUGGUAAUUUCUAACUUUUCUUUAUACUUUUAUCACACAAAUAUGCCUCAUUAGAACCUAUAGUUUAGUUUUUUUUGUGUGUGUGUUUUAAAGAAAUGUAUCUUUUAAGCCUCUUUUGAUUGAAAGGAUCUCCCCUCCACCUCUGCUUUUCCCAGGAAAUUUAUUCAUUAGAGAAUCUGGGUCAUUAGGUCUGUGAAGUUUCCCAUAGUCUGUAAUUUGCUGAUUGCAUCCAUAUGGUUUAAUUUGACAUGUUCUUCUGUCCUCUUGUUUUAACCUGUGGAAUGGUAGUUGCAUCUAAAGCAGUGGUUUUUAAUGGGGAGUGAUUCUGCUCUUCCUGCCUGGGGACUUUUGGCAGUGUUUAGAGACUUUUAUUUUUUUAAUUUUUUCCCACUGUACAGCAAGGGGAUCAAGUUAUCCUUACAUGUAUGCAUUUUUCCCCCCACCCUUUGUUCUGUUGCAAUAUGAGUAUCUAGACAAAGUUCUCAAUGCUACUCAGCAGGAUCUCCUUGUAAAUCUAUUCUAAGUUGUGUCUGAUAACCCCAAGCUCCUGAUCCCUCCCACUACCUCCCUCUCCCAUCAGGCAGCCACAAGUCUUUUCUCCAAGUCCAUGAUUUUCUUUUCUGUGGAGAUGUUCAUUUGUGCUGGAUAUUAGAUUCCAGUUAUAAGCGAUAUCAUAUGGUAUUUGUCUUUGUCUUUCUGGCUCAUUUCACUCAGUAUGAGAUUCUCUAGUUCCAUCCAUGUUGCUGCAAAUGGCAUUAUGCCAUUCUUUUUUUAUGGCUGAGUAGUAUUCCAUUGUGUAUAUAUACCACACCUUCCGAAUCCAAUCAUCUGUCGAUGGACAUUUGGGUUGUUUCCAUGUCCUGGCUAUUGUGAAUAGCACUGCAAUGAAAAUGCGGGUGCAUGUGUCUCUUUUAAGUAGAGUUUUGUCCGGAUAUAUGCCCAAGAGUGGGAUUGCGGGGUCAUAUGGAAGUUCUAUGUGGAGAUUUCUAAGGAAUCUCCAAACUGUUCUCCAUAGUGGCUGUACCAACUUACAUUUCCACCAACAGUGCAGGAGGGUUCCCUUUUCUCCACACCCCCUCCAGCACUUGUUAUCUGUGGACUUAUGAAUGAUGGCCAUUCUGACUGGGGUGAGGUGGUAUCUAUCUCAUGGUAGUUUUGAUUUGCAUUUCUCUUAUAAUCAGCGAUGUUGAGCAUUUUUUCAUGUGUUUGCUGGCCAUCUGUAUAUCUUCCUUGGAGAACAGUCUAUUCAGGUCUUUUGCCCAUUUUUCCAUUGGUUGAUUGGCUUUUUUGCUGUUGAGGCUUAUGUUUAGAGACUUUUUAAAAAAACUUUUAUAUUGGGGUGGGUGGUGCUACUGCAUAUCUUACAACACACAGGCCAGAUCCCCACAGCAAGAAGUUAUCUGGCUCCAAACACCAUUUAGUGGUGAAGUUGAGAAAUCCCAGUCUAGAGGUUUGUUCAGAUUCAGGUUCAUUUUUUUUUGUGUGUGGCAAAAACAGCAACAACAACAAAAGAUGGUGUGAUGUGUGAUCUUUCAUCACACCAUCAUAGCAUAAUGUCUGGAUAUCUGUAUUUUUAUGAUAAUAGAAACUUUUUUUUUUUUUGGCUUUUUGCCUUUUCUAGGGCCGCACCCACGUGGCUCAGUUCUGGCUUUGCUGUGGCUCUGGUGUAGGCUGGCAGCUACAGCUCAGGUUCAACCUCUAGCCUGGGAACCUCCAUAUACCAUAGGUGUGGCCCUAAAAAGACAAAAAAAAAAAA